CUGCGCAGGAAAAGCCCAAA
rnacentral:snRNA from 1 species